GCACACACAGCAGCUGCAGAGAGAGGAUGAACGAGGCUGAGUCCCGUUAAGAGAUAAGCGUUCUGCAUACACCGUAGCUGGCUGGUGGACAGGGUGGUGAUCCAGAAAACCCACAUUUAAACCAUCCAGUGAUCCCCUUCCUCAGAGCUGACCGUCCCACAAAAUGGAAGUCUUUCCAGCUGGAGCGGAAAGUCACUUCAUCUUUUCUUCCCUGAGGUGGAUACAACGUGUUUCGGGCAGGUUGGGUGAGUCAGGAAAGCGUCUCUGUGACCUCUGUGAAGUAAAGGAUGGAUCCCAAAAGGAUUGUGAGAGCCUUGGAUUUGCAGCCAAAUCAGACAGAGGGGAAAUGCAGCCUGGAAAUGCACAGUUUCUUCCCAAAUCUAAGGAAGUCUGGCAAGACUGAGAGCCCUCUUGUUUCUUUGCAUCAUUUUAUUUUAUUUUAUUUUAUUUUAUUUUAUUUUUGCUACUGUUGUUUUGGAGAUAAGGUCCCAAGUGGUCUAGGCUGACUUUGAACUGGUUAUGUGGCCAAGGUUGACUCUGAACUCAUGAUAGAGGUAUAGAUAUCUUUGACUCCGUUUCCCAAGUGCUUAGAACACAGGUAUGCCCCAUUCCACUUGGCAAAGCCAAGAUUUACACUUGUGGGAUCUGAUGCUAUCACCAGGUAGAUGUUGUCAGACCUGAAUUGCAUUGUGGGACACCCAGCUGGUCACAGAAGAUUGAUGAAUGUGAAGAAUCUACAUCUGGCCACAAAAGAAUCCCGUGUUGGGAAGCCCAGGGAACAGAAACAGGCAUGGGGUCUCUUGCCUCUCAAGACACUAGGCUGGUGCUCUCUAGAGACCUGUGCGGGAGCAACAUCUGUCCGGAGACCUUGAAGCCGCAUUCCAUCAAAGAUUCUCUAAAACAGUAAGUCCAAUACAGGAGCCACCAGCUGGCAAUCACUUGACACAUGGCCACUGGAUGUGCUAAAUGUAAAAAGUGCACAUGCUUUGAAGGACAUGUGGAAUGAAACAUUCAAAGCAGCUCCGUAAUAAUUGUUUUUAACAUCGAUUAUGCUAAACUGGUAAUAUUCUUCUUUUACUAGUUAAAUAUAUUGUUUACAUUAUUCUUAUUGUAAAAUACAUAUGGUGUAAGCUUA
rnacentral:lncRNA from 1 species